rnacentral:rRNA from 1 species
GAUCCUGGCUCUGGACGAACGCUGGCGGCGUGCUUCAUACAUGCAAGUCGAACGCGAAUCGGUAGCUUGCUACCGAGGAAAGUGGCGGACGGGUGAGUAAUAUGUAGAGAAUCUGCCCUAGAGAGGGGGACAACAGCUGGAAACGGUUGCUAAUACCCCAUAUGAGCGUACCUGAAAUGGUAUUCUUGAAAACUCCGGUGCUCUAGGAUGAGUCUGCAUCUGAUUAGCUAGUUGGGGG